rnacentral:rRNA from 1 species
GAUGAACGCUAGCUACAGGCUUAACACAUGCAAGUCGAGGGGAAACGACAUCGAAAGCUUGCUUUUGAUGGGCGUCGACCGGCGCACGGGUGAGUAACGCGUAUCCAACCUGCCCACCACUUGGGGAUAACCUUGCGAGAGUAAGACUAAUACCCAAUGAUAUCUCUAGAAGACAUCUGAAAGAGAUUAAAGAUUUAUCGGUGAUGGAUGGGGAUGCGUCUGAUUAGCUUGUUGGCGGGGUAACGGCCCACCAAGGCGACGAUCAGUAGGGGUUCUGAGAGGAAGGUCCCCCACAUUGGAACUGAGACACGGUCCAAACUCCUACGGGAGGCAGCAGUGAGGAAUAUUGGUCAAUGGGCGAGAGCCUGAACCAGCCAAGUAGCGUGCAGGAUGACGGCCCUAUGGGUUGUAAACUGCUUUUAUAAGGGAAUAAAGUGAGUCUCGUGAGACUUUUUGCAUAUACCUUAUGAAUAAGGACCGGCUAAUUCCGUGCCAGCCGCCGCAGUAA